GCCCUGGUAGUGUAGCGGCCUAGCAUGAAGCCCUGUCGAGGCUUCGACCCGGGUUCAAAAUCGGAAUCCGGAACGCUGAGCAGUGUUCCCGAUGACUUUCCCGGCCAGGGCG
rnacentral:tRNA from 1 species